rnacentral:rRNA from 1 species
GAGUAAAAAGUGAAUAACCUACCUCCGAGUGGGGAAUAACCCCGGGAAACCGGGGCUAAUACCGCAUAACACCGCAAGGUCAAAGCAGCAAUGCGCUUGGAGAGGGGGUCGCGGCUGAUUAGCUAGUUGGUGAGGUAACGGCCCACCAAGGCGAAGAUCGGUAUCCGGCCUGAGAGGGCGCACGGACACACUGGAACUGAAACACGGUCCAGACUCCUACGGGAGGCAGCAGUGGGGAAUUUUGCGCAAUGGGGGAAACCCUGACGCAGCAACGCCGCGUGGAGGAUGAAGCCCUUUGGGGCGUAAACUCCUUUCGACUCGGACGAUGAUGACGGUACGAGUGGAAGAAGCACCGGCUAACUCUGUGCCAGCAGCCGCGGUAAUACAGAGGGUGCAAGCGUUGUUCGGAAUUAUUGGGCGUAAAGGGCGCGUAGGCGGUGCGCUAAGUCACCUGUGAAAUCUCCCGGCUUAACUGGGAGCCUGCAGGCGAAACUAGCGUGCUGGAGUGUGGGAGAGGUGCGUGGAAUUC